rnacentral:piRNA from 1 species
UAAUAAGUUCUCCUGGAGUGUGACUGAAG